UACGUAGGCAGCAAGCGUUGUUCGGAGUUACUGGGCGUAAAGAGUGCGUAGGUGGUGCCCUAAGUCUGUUGUGAAAUCUCCCGGCUUAACUGGGAGGGUGCGGUGGAAACCGGGGUGCUUGAGUGUGGGAGAGGUAAGCGGAAUUCCUGGUGUAGCGGUGAAAUGCGUAGAUAUCAGGAGGAACACCGGUGGUGUAGACGGCUUACUGGACCACGACUGACACUGAGGCACGAAAGCGUGGGUAGCAAACAGG
rnacentral:rRNA from 1 species